CCUACGGGUGGCUGCAGUGGGGAAUUUUGGACAAUGGGGGCAACCCUGAUCCAGCCAUGCCGCGUGCGGGAAGAAGGCCUUCGGGUUGUAAACCGCUUUCGGCCGGAACGAAAUCGCCGGGGAGAACAUCCCCGGUGGAUGCCGGUACCGGAAGAAGAAGCACCGGCUCACUACGUGCCAGCAGCCGCGGUAAUACGUAGGGUGCGUACGUUGAUCGGAAUUACUGGAGGUAAAGCGUGCACACAGGGUUGAAAGCCCCGGGCGUAACCUGGGAACUGCGUUUGUGACUGGCGGGCUGGAGUGCGGAAGAGGGAGGUGGAAUGCCACGUGUAGCAGUGAAAGGCGUAGAGAUGUGGAGGAACACCGAUGGCGAAGGCAGCCUCCUGGUCUAGCACUGACGCUCAUGCACGAAAGCGUGGGGAGCAAACAGGAUUAGAUACCCGAGUAGUC
rnacentral:rRNA from 1 species